UACGUAGGGUGCGAGCGUUGUCCGGAUUUAUUGGGCGUAAAGAGCGUGUAGGCGGUUCGGUAGGUCCGUUGUGAAAACUCGAGGCUCAACCUCGAGACGCCGAUGGAAACCAUCGAACUAGAGUCCGGAAGAGGAGAGUGGAAUUCCUGGUGUAGCGGUGAAAUGCGCAGAUAUCAGGAAGAACACCCGUGGCUAAGGCGGCUCUCUAGUACGGUACUGACGCUGAGACGCGAAAGCGUGGGGAGCGAACAGG
rnacentral:rRNA from 1 species